rnacentral:lncRNA from 1 species
GUCUUUUUGCCUUUUCUUGGGCCGCUUCCUGCAGCAUAUGGAGGUUCCCAGGCUAGGGGUCCAAUCGGAGCUGUAGCUGCCAGCCUACACCACAGCCACAGCAACUCGGCAACACCGGAUCCUUAACCCACUGAGCAAGGCCAGGGAUCAAACCCACAACCUCAUGGUUCCUAGUCGGAUUCGUUAACCACUGUGCCAUGAUAGGAACUCCUCAACUAUCAGUUUUGAACUGGACAUUUUAUUUGCUGGAAGAAGGAAGGAGAGACUGGCUGUACUGAUGUCUUCAGAUAUCAGAUAUUACAACUUUAAAACUCUUGGGAGUUCCCAAGUGUUAAGGACUGGUGGCUCAGUGGGUUAAGGACUAGCAUUGUCAAUGCUGUGGCACGGGUUUGAUGCCUGGCCUGGGCACUUCAGCAUGUCACGGGUACCGCCAAAAGUAAAUAAAAUUUUCUUUACUAUUUCUCUGUGCCACAGAAUCUGUUGCUGGAUUUGGGGAGAGAAAUCACUUCCUUGCUAUUUGUUUUGACCUUCCACACACAGACACCCAUAAACACACUCUCAUGGAUCUCAGAGGGGAUCAGAUAGUUGCAGAGAACUAGAAACACAGUGUGUGCCCCAGCAUCACCCGAGGCUUGCCCAGAUCAGGAGCAGCUCAGCAGCGCAGGUGAAUCAGGAGCAGCUCAGCAGCACAGGGGAAGGUGGGCGGGCUCUCCCCCUCCACCCAGGGCAGGGGCUGCCAGCUGAGGGCAGGAAGGGCAGGGCCCCACCACAACAGGGGAUACACCCCCUUCCCAAGAUGUAAAUCCACAGAAGAACAUCCUUGAGGGUUUAAAGGAUGCCCUUUAAACCAAAUACCAGCCAGGAUAUUUCAAAAUCAAGCUAAUUAAUUUUUAUACAAUGCCAGUGCACAGACUGAAUUUCAUUUGCUAAGAUAAGUAUAGAAAGGUUUUUUUGUUUUGUGUGUGUGUGUGUGUGUGUGUGUGGUAGAAGCCUUACCUCUUGGUCGUGAUUUUUUUUCUAAACACCAUCCCAUUCAACAAAAACAAAUACAUGCUCCCCAAACGUCCAACACCAAAGACACUAAGUUCUCUUUUGGAGCGAGUCUGAUGCAUCUGAUUGUGUUUUUCUUUUCUCUAUUUCACUUUCUCCUCAUUCAAAGGAAGAGGCGGCAAAUGAGAAAUUAAAGGCAGCAAGAAAACAAGGGAGAUGACAGAAAGCAUUAAUUUUAGAUAAGAACCUUAAUCGAUGGGCAAAAGAAGAAUCUACAUUUUAAAAUCAUACUGGAAAAAGAAUUAUUCACUAAAAUAAAGUUUUCAAAUAUUACCAAAACCGGAAUGAAAAGAAUAGUGAGGGUUUUAAGGUAGAGAACCCCAGUCCCACAGUUCCUAUGUACCAAUAUCUCCAGAAUGAAUUUUACAACAAGGAGGAGUUUACCAGCCACCACCAUUCACAACCAACGUGACACUGUUGGGGAGAAAAUAACACAACUCAGAAGAAUGCUCUCUCUUAUUCACCUUCACAUGAAAGAUGGCCAAGGCAAACUUGAAAAACCAGCCCAGCAUCUCUAUGUAUGUGUGUUUUAUAAUUUAAGCAAUUCAUAUUUUCUUUUUUACCUGGCACAUGGUAUACCAAUAAGAUGAAUGCCUGUCAGAAUAAAUACUCAAGUCACCUUGAAUUCUAGUGCCUGACCUCAACGGCACGGCCACCUGUUCUCUGCCAUAUCAUGAUUAAGUAAAAGCAUCCCUAGACAUAAAGAGUGGCAUUAAGCAUAGCUCUAAACAAAAAUUUCAUAUCAACAAUGAUAAGGAUAAGAGCUGCAUUCAAACUCCUGCAAAGCAAGGAUAAUCAAGUAUUUAAGCCUUCCGUGGUGAUGGAGUUAAAUAAGGUACAAACACUUCUUUUCAGGUAAACUCAAAGUUAAACGAGAAGACCACACCUUGUCUUCAAAAUUGAGAAGACAGUUGCAGGUUCCUUUUUUUUACACAAACAUUGGCACUAAGAAUAGAGAACUUGGCUCCUAGGACACAGAUAAGUACCAGUUCCUCCAAAGAAAGAGAAACUGCUAUCCUGAAAUUCCCUGGGGAAAUAGGGAAGCAAAACCACAAAGCACACGACACAAAAAGCAACUGCUUACGUGAAUGAGAUCAAAAGCCACUCUAAAUAGUACAUCACAAGAAAUACGGCAACUCUAUGUAUCAGAGAGAAUGACUGACAAUUCCCACAUAUUAACAGCACAAAGAAUUUCCCGAGGUGCUCAAAUCAUGAGACCUUCCGUGACACUGAAGAGAAAUGGGCUUCAACUUAACAAGCGGUUGGUUAUUAAUUUGGCUUAAUAAAUAGAUACGGCACCCCAUCAAAAAGACACGUGUGAAAGGCUUGGCAGGGGAGAAUCCUGCCACUCAAGAUUCAUUCUAACAGAAGAGCGGGCUUACCUGGUGGCAAAGAGGAACAUCCUAGAUAACAACCCUCUGGCCAACUGCAAGUCAUACUCAGGAGUGGGAUAAAAAGCCAUUUCACCCUGUGACUGCUCUAUCUGCUCCUCGAUUCUCAACGAUUCCAGGCGGUUCCAUGCGCCUCCCCUCAGAGGGCCUGAACUGACCGGAACACACUAAGCUUCAUGUAUGUGGGAGGGGCUCAUUGCCAGCCACUUCUGUAAAUUGCCCAGUAAAAGUCAACUCCUGCUCUCUAAGAGGAAAGGAGAGAAAGAGACGCUUGGUAACUCUCUGAGAAGAGCCAGCAUCAUCAGACAACAACACACAGCUUGGAAAGGCCAGAAUUCUAGGCUGUGGGCAGGAGGAGGAGGAGGCAAGGAAGGAAAAUCAUCUGUGGAAAAAAUGCAUCAAACUGCAAUAAGGAAGUUUUCUUUUUAAUUGAUCUCCUCUGCUAAACCCACGUCCUCCUCCACAGGCAAAAAUGCCGCUGUCUGCAAAAAUGUCUGUUAAUGGCUUGAAGCUUCCCACAGUGGGCGAGGCGACUGAAGGCAGUCCUACACCAACAUCCACUGAGGCUCCCUGACACACCGGGGCGGCAGUACAGGGACAGAACUCAUUGCCAACAGAAAUGCAAGUGCCAGCUGAGCUCACCUUGCUGCCCAUUUGAGAAUGAAUGAAGUCAGAGCCUGAGCGUCUAUUACCCAUUCACCUCAAUUCCCUUUCUAGAGCCCACAUGGCCACGUAUGGGUAAGUGCUUCCUGAUGAGAUGGGAAAGUCCUUAUAAUGAUGGUGACCCUCGGUGGCGGGUGAGGAAGGGAUGAGAACUUCAUGGAGGAAGCACUGGCUGGGGAAAAUCUCUGAGUUUUUUUUUUUUGUUUUGUUUUGUUUUGUUUUUUUUGGUGUUUUCUAGGACUGUUCCUGCGGCAUAUGGAGAUUCCCAGGCUAGGGGUCGAAUCGGAGCUGUAGCCACAGGCCUA